rnacentral:rRNA from 1 species
UACGGAGGGUGCGAGCGUUGUCCGGAAUCACUGGGCGUAAAGGGCGCGUAGGUGGCCCGUUAAGUGGCUGGUGAAAUCCCGCGGCUCAACUGCGGGGCUGCCGGUCAUACUGGCGAGCUAGAGCACGGUAGGGGCAGAUGGAAUUCCCGGUGUAGCGGUGGAAUGCGUAGAGAUCGGGAAGAAUACCAGUGGCGAAGGCGGAUCUCUGGGCCAUUACUGACGCUGAGGAGCGAAAGCGUGGGGAGCAAACAGG